UAUUGGUCAAUGGACGCGAGUCUGAACCAGCCAAGUAGCGUGAAGGAUGACUGCCCUAUGGGUUGUACACUUCUUUUAUAUGGGAAUAAAGUUUUCCACGUGUGGAAUCUUGCAUGUACCAUAUGAAUAAGGAUCGGCCAACUCCGUGCCAGCAGCCGCGGUAAUACGGAGGAUCCGAGCGUUAUCCGGAUUUAGUGGGUUUAAAGGGAGCGUAGGUGGACAGUUAAGUCAGUUGUGAAAGUUUGCGGAUCAACCGUAAAAUUGCAGUUGAUACUGGCUGUCUUGAGUGCAGUAGAGGUGAGCGGAAUUCGUGGUGUAGCGGUGAAAUGCUUAGAUAUCACGAAGAACUCCGAUUGCGAAGGCAGCUCACUGGACUGCAACUGACACUGAUGCUCGAAAGUGUGGGUAUCAAA
rnacentral:rRNA from 1 species